AUUGAACGAUGGCGGCAGGCCUAACACAUGCAAGUCGAGCGGAGCGGCGGACGGGUGAGUAAUGCCUAGGAAUCUGCCUGGUAGUGGGGGAUAACGUCCGGAAACGGGCGCUAAUACCGCAUACUAUCAGAUGAGCCUAUGUCGGCUUAGCUAGUUGGUGGGGUAAAGGCCUGCCAAGGCGACGAUCCGUAACUGGUCUGAGAGGAUGAUCAGUCACACUGUAACUGAGACAUGGUCCAGAGUCCUACGGUAGCCGGCCGUGGGGAAGAUUGGACCAGGGGCUAAAUCCUGAUCCAGCCAUGCCGCGUGUGUGAAGAAGGUCUUCGGAUUGUAAAGCACUUUAAGUUGGGAGGCGUUACCAACAGAAUAAGCACCGGCUAACUUCGUGCCAGCCGCCGCGGUAAUUC
rnacentral:rRNA from 1 species